AUGCAGAAGAGACAGAAAAUGUUUGGUGAAUGUUUGUAAGGGCAUGAGAGCACAGAGGUCAGCACAGUUGGGAGACAACAGAACUGCUGCAGGAAACAGCCUGGGCCAAAGACCUAUCGCAAGGCCAAAAAGAAAACAUAAAAAGUUAAGUUGAGAGAGAAAAGUAUCACUUCUGCUGGUUUCCAGCCUCUGAGGAGUGUUCAUUUGUUGCUGUUGAAGUCUCCCUAAGCUCUCUGGCUAUCAGCACUGAGAAGCAGUGUUAGGACAGGACAGGCUCUUUAUCUGAGUUCCCAGUGUCUAAGCAGCUCCAUGCAGUCCAGCGGCAAUAUGGCUCUUUGUCUCCCACCCUCUCAUCCUCACUAGCACAAGCAGCAGCACAAGAUCAGAUGUGCUAGCAGGCAGCCAGUUUAAAUCUGCAAAUAUCGUUCAAUUAAUAUGGUGAGCUGCUUGCUGCAUGCCAAAAAAGCAUAAUAACACAUGAUAAGGAAAGAACAAAGGUGUACUAAAAAAGAAAACUAUCACAGAAAUAUAAGAAAUCUGUUUUCUAGUGGAACAACAGCCUGAAUAGUACAGUGUGAUAGUGCUUCAUUUUUAUUUUUUUCCUGUCCUGAAGUUAGCAAAUGGCAUUUACAGAUAUGAAAAGAAAUGUUGAGAUUUAAGCUAGCACAGUGUCAACUGGGAUUUAUGGUUUUCAAGACUGUCCCGAGUUGACCUGUGUCCAAGUUUUCUAUUAACCAAAUGGCCAAAGUUCACAGGGGUCUGGGUAUGUUGAGAAUUUAUUUUGGACCAUACUUGAUUUUACUUCUAUUUUCAGACAUGCCCAGAAAUUCUGUACGGAUGAUAAAGUCAAGCUACUUUUAUUAUCAUUCUCAGUUAUCAGUUCACAGGAGGGACAGUUCAAUGGCUUCUGGUUGAAAUAUAAGCCUUGUAUAUAUUUUCAUUUUUAUUUUUUCCCCUCUCUAUCUCAAAGGAGAAUGAAACUGUGCCUUAUUCUAGCUCACUCCUCCCAAGGUCAGUUGCAAAUUUUACUGAUCUUCUGCCUGCCAGAGGUGAUGAGGGAAGUUAAAGGUGCUAUCUUUCACAGUAGAUGUUGGUCCCAUGUCCAUUUAAAAACUUUGUAGGAUUUCUGCCAGGAUAUGGGUAACUAGAAUCUAUCUUGAUUAAGUACUUAUGUAAGUUUAAAAGUGCAACCUAAAUCCCUUUUCCUCAAAUCACAGUGCUACACUGAGAUAUAGUAUUCUUUUUAUUCCCAGACCUCCACUGCUCUCAGACACAGAACAGCUGGUAUAUUUUCUCCUUGAAAUGGGUGAAGUGCUUUCUUCAUUUACAAAAUUGUAAAAGCUUUUGGACUGCUAUAAUGAAUGGGAUGCACAAGUGAAGCACACUGUAAAAAUAACAAAGAAAAGAAAGUACCUUUUAUGUUCUCUUUAAACCCAGAGCUUCUCUGUGUGCUCUGAACCUGCAAGUGCUAUUGACUGGGAGAUCAAGGUGCCGAGCCUGCUGGUGAUUAAGCACUUUGUAUUUACUGGUAUCCCACCAGCUAAUCAAUUCUCCCAGCCCUCCAUGUUCAUUCCUAUUGCCCAUUAGAACUAUUAUGCUUCACAGUCUCCUGUAAUGAUUUAAAUAUCAGACAGUUCAGUCUGUUGCCUGUCCUAAAAAAUUUGGCUAACCAGAAAGGAACAUGUUAGCACAGAAGAAAAAUCCAAUGGUAUUUCCUAAAUAAUUUAUUUUCUUAGAAUUAGAAAGGCAAAAGAGGUCUACAAGAUUAGAUCACAAUUCCGUUCUUGGAGUAUUCUUGUAAAUUAUUGCUGAAUAUACAUCUAUAGAUAGUGCAUAUACCCAUUGGAGUCAGUCUCCAUUUUUGUCCCAUACACUGAUUCCUCUCAUUUAUCAAUACCUGUACUUGCUUCAAAUCAAAACUGAUGUGGCUGCACUACAAUUCAAUUUUAAAGCAGGGGAUACCAAGGGAAGUACAUUUUGCAAGACAUUUGCAGGUUUAGUCCAGAAUGACACCUGAUGACUGUGCUUUUCAAAGCAGGACUCGCUGCUCUUAGGAUAUCAGACAGCUGGCCCACUCAGGUAUUCAGCUAUCUAAUAAAAAGUGAUUUCUCACAUAAUUUUCUCUUUUCUCAUUUAAGGCUGGAACAUAACACUGUGUGUGGAUUGCUCAUUUAGGUGCAACCUUCCGGUGGAACUAAGGUGUGGUGCCAACCAAAUCUACAGUUUUCAAAGGCAUUGCUGAAUAGAACUGCAACACAUUAACUAAGCCCAGAAAUCACCAGUAUUAAAAUUGCAGUUACGUGGACCAGGAGGUGUCAAGAGCAGGACAUACAGAAGAAAGUGUUUGGAAUACUUUAUCUGCCACAGCUCCUUGUGACCCACCUCUGCCUUCAUAUAUACAAGCACAGGUCCCAGUGAAGUCAAUGGAGUCGCACUUGCAUAUUUGAGAAGAGGUUUGAGGCCUUUCAUCUGAACACAACCAAGUAUGUUAUGAAUUAUUUUUAAAUUGUAUUAGCAAAAAACUAGCAUUUCUCCAGUGCUGUUUAUUCUAUUCAUUCUGUAUCAAUGAUUUAAAAAAAAAUUUUUUUAGGAAAUGCUUACAGGUGAAGUCACAUCUCAUAUCUGUUUAGCUGAAUUGUAAAUAUGAAAGAUAACUGGCUUGGAAUUAGGUAGCAGGGACUAAAAGUGCCUUUAGGAGUUUAAUCAAAUUUAUGCUUUUGAAUGUUGAAAGGAAUUACAAUUUAAAAUUUUUGAUAGAUGUAAUAAAUCAAAUUAAAUUUUCAAAGACCCCUUUGUUUAGCAUGAAUUUUAACUAUAGCAUAAACUAUUUCUUCCUCUACCUAUAAAAAAUGUGAAUUAUUCAUACCACCUGUAUUCAGUGACCUACCAAUGAACCUCCCCAAACCAGAAAUGAUCUCCUGCAGCAUAAAUAAUGAGUCCAUUGCCAGCCUCUGUGCUCAGAUGUCUAAAUGAAUCUUUCAAAGCUGUAAUUACAACUAAUGUUACAUUGUAUUUGGCUGAAGCAGAUGAUUUGUUGGUAAACAAGGAAUUUUGAAUACUCAGAGAGAAAUCUUUAAAGUGGAGUUUUCAGAAAUCAGAGAUCAAAAAACUUGAAAGUGACUUUGUUUGUAUGUUUCAGGUUUGAUUCUCAAAGCAAUCUUGCAGAUCUCACUGGUGGCAUUUAGGAUCUAUCUUAAGUUACUGUGAUUAGAUUCUUAUUUUGCUUUUCAUUACACACAAUAAUAGUGCAUUCCAGAAUUUCAAAUAAAUUUCCCCUACACAACAGUUCGCAAAUGAUAUUUCUCUUUCAUCACAUAAAUUCUUCAAUUUUCUCAAUUCGCUCUUGAGAAAAUUAAUAAAAUCCCUCCAAUAUUAACCUUCUCUAUCAAGCAAAAGAAAGUUCAUUGUUUUCAUUUUUUUCUUAAAUUUAUGCGAACAGUCUCCACAGUAGAUCUGAAACUGGCAAUGCUAUAUAUCUUUGCUGACUGACUGGAGGUGAAAAUGCAAAUUACUUUGAUUUGUUGACUUAAGUCUAAGUUAGGUCACAUAAAAGUGCAGCAUCAGCUAUUAAAAAUUCAUGAUUUUACUACUCUUCCAACCAUUGCUUUUAUUAAUGUUUCAACCAUGUAACAUCCUCAUGCUUCCUCUAGUGACAUGAGAUGGAGAAUGGACUGUGUUGACAAUAUUUUCCUUGCAAUGACACCAUCAUAACAGCUUUGAAACAAUGGGUCACCUCUGCUGGUGAAAAUUUUUAUGAGUGUGGCAUGCAGGCUCUUGAUCUUCACUGGCAAAAAAAAGCGUAGCUUAUGGUGGUGACUAUGUUGAAAAAGUAGCUGAGAGUUUGUAUCUUUUCUGAGCUGAGCUCUGUGCCUUUUCUACUUUCCAUGGAAAUAAAUAGGAGGCAUUCCUUUCUGAAAAACCUGUGUUCUAAAGGAUAAAGUAUUUUAAUAAAUUCUGAAACCUUAAAAUAUGAACGCAUCAUAUUCACUUAAAAGACCACAGACCUGUGUCUUUUGAUGAAAUCGUUGAAGAAUGCUGUAUAUAGGACAACAUAAACAGAAACCUACCUAGCUGCUUGCAUAUCCUUUUAAUAUUCAGUUCAGUACUAUGUAGUGUUAGUGUUUUUUUGUUUUUGUUUUUGUUUUUCAUCUGAUUAGGAGGUAUGAGCAGGUUUGUUUUCUUCCCUUUUCCUUUCAGCUAAGGUUUUUGCAGUGUAUGGGAUGCCUAAGUUGACACAGACCAUGUGAAAAAAAAAAA